rnacentral:rRNA from 1 species
AUUGAACGCUGGCGGCAUGCCUUACACAUGCAAGUCGAACGGCAGCACGGGUGCUUGCACCUGGUGGCGAGUGGCGAACGGGUGAGUAAUACAUCGGAACAUGUCCUGUAGUGGGGGAUAGCCCGGCGAAAGCCGGAUUAAUACCGCAUACGAUCUACGGAUGAAAGCGGGGGACCUUCGGGCCUCGCGCUAUAGGGUUGGCCGAUGGCUGAUUAGCUAGUUGGUGGGGUAAAGGCCUACCAAGGCGACGAUCAGUAGCUGGUCUGUGAGGACGACCAGCCACACUGGGACUGAGACACGGCCCAGACUCCUACGGGAGGCAGCAGUGGGGAAUUUUGGACAAUGGGCGAAAGCCUGAUCCAGCAAUGCCGCGUGUGUGAAGAAGGCCUUCGGGUUGUAAAGCACUUUUGUCCGGAAAGAAAUCCUUGGCUCUAAUACAGUCGGGGGAUGACGGUACCGGAAGAAUAAGCACCGGCUAACUACGUG